rnacentral:rRNA from 1 species
AGUGAACGCUGGCGGUAGGCCUAACACAUGCAAGUCGAACGGCAGCACAGUAAGAGCUUGCUCUUACGGGUGGCGAGUGGCGGACGGGUGAGGAAUACAUCGGAAUCUACUUUUUCGUGGGGGAUAACGUAGGGAAACUUACGCUAAUACCGCAUACGACCUACGGGUGAAAGCAGGGGAUCUUCGGACCUUGCGCGAUUGAAUGAGCCGAUGUCGGAUUAGUUAGUUGGCGGGGUAAAGGCCCACCAAGGCGACGAUCCGUAGCUGGUCUGAGAGGAUGAUCAGCCACACUGGAACUGAGACACGGUCCAGGCUCCUACGGGAGGCAGCAGUGGGGAAUAUUGGACAAUGGGCGCAAGCCUGAUCCAGCCAUACCGCGUGGGUGAAGAAGGCCUUCGGGUUGUAAAGCCCUUUUGUUGGGAAAGAAAAGCAGCAGGUUAAUACCCCGCUGUUCUGACGGUACCCAAAGAAUAAGCACCGGCUAACUUCGUG